AAGUUUUACGGGCCUAUUAAGAAAUUCACCCCAACAGUUAGUUGAGGUCCGAUACGCCAUGACCCCGGAACUCAUAAACAGCUUCAAGAAUCAAAAACACAGUUUGCUUUGCGGAAACCAGGUUGCAAGAUUUACGACGUUAAAUUUUCUCGUAAUGCGCUUCUGGUUCUACAAAUCCUGUCCCUUUGAGAGAUCAGUCUCAUUAUGUGCUGGAAACUCAAUUGCUGCCUCAAUUAUACCAUUGUCUUCUCCGAGGUGUACCAUGCAGCGGAAGGGGAUGCAAUUACAUGAAGAAUUGGCUUUUGUUGGUUGCGCAACUGAUGUUUGGGCAAGCCUCAUUGAGCCGCUUGCAAACACAACCGUUACUCGUAUCCAACUGGCUGUGGCUGUUGCCAAACACUAUUUAAGACUUCGUUGAGGGUUUAUUCUUUAUUCUCAUUUCACACCAUCCACCGACACGACUGACAAAGACGAGCGGGCGGCCGUUACAUAACUUCACGUGGUAGUUCCUUUUUUUUCUCUCUCUCUCUCUCUCUUUAUUUUUUUUUUCCCAUUAUUGUGUUAUUAUUAGUCCAUGGUUACGUAUAGAUCUUUUGAAUACUUUUUUGG